AUUGAACGCUGGCGGCAGGCCUAACACAUGCAAGUCGAGCGAGCGGCAGACGGGUGCGUAAUGGAUGGGGAUCUGCCCGAUAGCGGGGGAUAACUACUGGAAACGGUGGCUAAUACCGCAUAAUAUCGGAUGAACCCAUUUGGGAUUAGCUAGUAGGUGGGGUAAAGGCUCACCAAGCCGACGCUCCCUAGCUGGUCUGAGAGGAUGACCAGCCACACGGGGACUGAGAAACGGCCCAGAUUCCUACGGGAGGCAGCAGUGGGGAAUAUUGCGCAAGGGGGGCAACCCUGACGAAGACAGGCCGCGUGAAGGAAGAAGGCCUUGGGGUUGUAAAGUUUGUUCGGUAGCGAGGCGUUAAUUACAGAAGAAGCACCGGCUAACUCCGUGCCAGCAGCCGCGGUAAUUC
rnacentral:rRNA from 1 species